CCUACGGGAGGCAGCAGUGAGGAAUAUUGGUCAAUGGCCGAGAGGCUGAACCAGCCAAGUCGCGUGAGGGAUGACGGCCCUACGGGUUGUAAACUUCUUUUAUCGGGGAGUAAAGCGAGUCACGUGUGACUUAUUGCGAGUACCCGAUGAAUAAGCAUCGGCUAACUCCGUGCCAGCAGCCGCGGUAAUACGGAGGAUGCGAGCGUUAUCCGGAUUUAUUGGGUUUAAAGGGUGCGUAGGCGGAGGUGUAAGUCAGCGGUCAAAUUGCGGGGCUCAACCCCGUACUGCCGUUGAAACUGCAUCCCUUGAGUGCGCGGGACGUAUGCGGAAUGCGUGGUGUAGCGGUGAAAUGCUUAGAUAUCACGAAGAACUCCGAUUGCGAAGGCAGCAUACCGGCGCGCAACUGACGCUCAUGCACGAAAGCGUGGGUAUCGAACAGGAUUAGAUACCCCGGUAGUC
rnacentral:rRNA from 1 species